ACUCACAACAUCUCAGGUGGAUGUCACGGAAUUAUAUGAGGAAGACAUGUCCAGGAGGGAAGGAAAUGUCCCCUACCUUUCUGACUGGGUAGAGGGAUAUGAUGUUGUGUAUCAUCAUGGAGAAUGAAACUUAUUGUAUUGUCUAGAAAAUAUCAAACUACAAAUUAUAUUGUGAGAUGAUCCACUGAAGAAAUGUGCCCUUGGCUUGUGAACUUUUCCCAGCUAAUCAUUGAUCCUCAGCCUUAGGCAGGAGCAAAGAAGGACUUAGAAAUGGGGAGUUAAUGCCACUUAGACAACUGUCAACCAAUGGAAGAUGAGAGUAGGUGAGGAAAUGCUCUGGUGUAUUUUGUUGCCUCGGAAAAGAUUCUGAAGCAUGUUCCAGAUGUCCCAGGCAUUUACAGGAUGCAGUUUGGCUGCAGUGAAGUAUCAUCAGCAACAGCAGAGCUUCUGAGGCUUUGUCAAGAAUUUAAAGCCAAUGAUUUUCAUGGAAGACAAGCCCAUGUUUAAUUUCUGGUAUGCAUCUGACAAGAGGGAAGUCAUUUCUGUAUAUGAAUGUCUCUUUCA